GGAACUACGAGCUAAGCUUAAAACCCAAAGGACUUGACGGUACCCCAUAUCCCCCUAGAGGAGCCUGUCCUGUAAUCGAUAAUCCACGUUUAACCUCACCACUUCUAGUUAAUCAGCCUGUAUACCUCCGUCGUCAGCUUACCACGUGAGCGCUAGCUAGUGAGCCCAAUGCUAUUUUACCAACACGUCAGGUCAAGGUGCAGCAAAUGAAGUGGAAAGAGAUGGGCUACACUUUCUAUAUUAGAAAAAACGAAAAACUAUUUAUGAAAUUUAGUUAGAAGGCGGAUUUAGCAGUAAAAAAGAAUCAACAUGUCCUUUUUAACCCGGCACUGGGGUGUGU
rnacentral:rRNA from 1 species